rnacentral:rRNA from 1 species
GGCGUAAAGCGCAUGCAGGUGGUUGGAUAAGUCAGAUGUGAAAGCCCCGGGCUCAACCUGGGAACUGCAUUUGAAACUGUUCGACUAGAGUCCUGUAGAGGGGGGUAGAAUUUC